rnacentral:lncRNA from 1 species
CCAGCUAAUCUGGAGGCUGAGGUGGGAGAAUUGCUUGAGCCCAGGAGGCAGAGUUUGUGUUGAGCUGAGAUUGCACCACUGCACUCCAGCGUGGACCACAGAGCAAGACCCUGUCUCAAAAAAAAAAAGAACCCAACAGCAACAAACCAUCUUGAUUGUUCUGAAGUCUUUCAAGAGCAAUCACCUCAUAAAUGUUCUUCCAGAAACACCAGCAAGCAUGCAUGAAACAAAGCAGCUAACCUAGAACUAAGGUAAUGUGUUAAGCUCUUUGUGUGCCUCUGAAGAAAGACAGUGUAUAAUUCCAGGUAGUGGUGUCGUUAUGCAUGCUACUUGCUCUAGAAAGCAUUCUAAAAGCCAGAGUAGAGGUCUUUGAAAUGUUUGCAGAAGCAUGCCACGGUUGCUAAGUCACUGGGACCCUCUCACCUCUCAUAUAAACUCCAUUCUUAUAAUGCAGGGGACCGUUUAAAGCAAAGACAUUGCAGUAAGCUGAAUGUGACCUGCUCAAAAAACAGUCUCUCUUCUCUAGGUCCUUUCCUGUGCAAGGGACAUUCUGGGGUACCCCGUCCCUCAGCCAUCAUUUAAUCCCCCAGGAAAGAUAUUUGAGGCUGACUCGCAGGUUUGUGGUUAUUUCUGUUGUCAUUAGAGAUGUGCUUUACUUCUUUCAGAAAGAAGUUCUGAUGAGCUUACGGGACCUAGCCCCUUGUUUGUUUCACAUUCAUCCUUGUGUGUUAUCCAGUUGUCUCUUAGGAACUUCAGAAUUGCAUAUGAGCGUUUUCCCCUCCAAGCUUCCUGGUCUCAAUGAUGAGCACGCCUGUCCACACAGUGACUCAAGCUAUGGCCAUAAAAGGUGUCUCCUGUCUCCCUGUACCCGACUUCAGCCACUCUCAAGUCCUGGCCAUUCUCUCUUCUAUCUUUAGGAAAUACUCUCAUACUCCACCCCCAGAGCCAUUCUCUUAAUUCAGCCCCCAUCAUUUCUCACUUUAUUAUAAGCAAAGCUUCCCCCAUUCCUUCUCUACGCUACUGUCAGAGCGAGCUUUUGAAAGCAUCAAGUCUUCAAGCCUAUGUCUGAUCAUCUUCGAAGACCAGUCUCAGCCUCCUAACAUGCAUCCAUGUACCCUGGAAAUUCUUUCUCACCUCCCGUGAAGACUGCAGGCAUGACAGGGCGUCUGCAGUUCUCUGGGUGUGCCAUGCGUCCCCUACCUCUGUGCCUUCACCUUCGAUGCUUUCCUCUGACUUUCCAGCUUCAAAUCAUUCUUCAGGACCCUUCUUGAGCAUCGUGUCCUUUGGGAAGCUUUGCCUGACAUCUGCUCAAUCCCACCAAGCAGAACUACAUGUCUCUGCUCCGGGCUCCUGCAAAGCCACUGCAUUCCCCAGCACAACUCUCACCAGACUGCAACAGUUGGCUUCCCUGCCCAUCUCCCCAGCUAGUUUGCCAAUGAGUUCAAUGUAUUUGUUUCUGAUUUCUCAGCACCUAGCAGAAUGCUUGGAAUGAAA